AUUGAACGCUGGCGGCAGGCCUAACACAUGCAAGUCGAGCGGAGCGGCGGACGGGUGAGUAAUGCCUAGGAAUCUGCCUUGUAGUGGGGGAUAACGUCCGGACACGGGCACUAAUACCGCAUACUAUCAGAUGAGCCUAGGUCUGAUUAGCUAGUUGGUGGGGUAAAGGCCUACCAAGGCGACGAUCCGUAACUGGUCUGGGAGGAUGAUCAGUCACCGUGAAACUGAGACACGGUCCAGACUCCUACGGGAGGCAGCAGUGGGGAAUUUUGGACAAUGGGCGAAAGCCGUAUCCAGCCAAGCCGGGUGUGUUAAGAAGGUUUUCGGAUUGUAAAGCACUUUAAGUUGGGAGGCGUUACCAACAGAAUAAGCACCGGCUAACUUCGUGCCAGCAGCCGCGGUAAUAC
rnacentral:rRNA from 1 species